rnacentral:rRNA from 1 species
CAGUAGCCGCGGUAAUACGAGGGGGGCAAGCGUUGUUCGGAAUUAUUGGGCGUAAAGGGUGCGUAGGCGGUCUGAUAAGUCUUAUGUGAAAUCUAUGGGCUCAACCCAUAGUCUGCAUAGGAAACUGUCGGGCUUGAGAGUGGGAGAGGUGAGUGGAAUUUCCGGUGUAGCGGUGAAAUGCGUAGAUAUCGGAAGCAACACCUGUGGCGAAAGCGGCUCACUGGACCAUUUCUGACGCUGAUGCACGAAAGCUAGGGGAGCAAACAGGAUUAGAUACCCGGGUAGUCCCUGUCUCUUAUAA